rnacentral:tRNA from 1 species
UUCAUCAGAUCUUCAAAAGAUCUAGUAGACGAUGGAGUAAAUGAUUUGAU